AGCCAAAUGGGGUGAGCCUCGGUCUCAGGGCACUGGAAGCAGCGAUGUUCUCUCAGCAGUGGGUCCUUGGGCAGGGCGAUGCAUCACCGGUACAGAUGCUGCUAAGAGUUGAAGGCAACACAUACAUGUUAUCAGCCAGAGGCAACAACAUGGCAAAGCAGAGGCUCCUUUAUGGAGGACAAUUGAUGUGUCCUGGUGUGACGGUCACCCCGCUCUGCCCUCCCUCCUGACAAGCCAGGCACAGCUCGUCCAGCGCCUUGCUGGCAGCCUGUCACCAUCGUCUGAUUGGACUUCCUUCUUUCUGGAAGAAAAGAAAAAGAAAGAAUGGAGGAGAAUAUGUGUUUAAACAAAUGUGUGUGCUUACUCCGUGGAUAAAAUCCAUUGUUACAAGUUAGUUUAGACUGCAGAUCUGCAGAGCCGUACUGGGUGUUACCAAAGAGAACAUAGCCCUUAACACUAAUUAAAAUAUUCACUUUUAAAUUUCAUCGCUGUUAGAAUUGCAUAAACCCAGCCCUUGUGAAGGGGCAGUGACAGCAAGG
ensembl:lncRNA